UUCUCCUGCACAUCGGCUCGCGCACCAUGGCAUGUAACUUUCCCGCUCCUAUGGCACUCAGUGGUCAUUGCCUGGUGUGUUUAAUUAUUCCGUGACACCUAUGGAAUAUGAGAGUCCAUAGCAACCCAGGGAGCUGUUCAAACCCGAAAACCGAGCUGCCGACCCCUAAAAGGGCCACAGCGACUGGUGUGGAGGACUCUCCUUUAGCACCCUCUAUGCAGAUGAACAGCGAUGGCCACAGAAUCCCACCCACCUGAACAGUACGAACACACAGUGGAACACGAUUCAGUCGAUGACGUGGUAAACAUGGAGCAUGUACUGAACUCACUGGAGAGGGUCAUUCUCACCAUCUUCCUCUCCAUCAUCAUCAUCAUGACUGUUCUGGGAAACCUGCUGGUGAUGGUGGCGCUCUGCAAGGACAGACAUCUUCGG